rfam:Paramecium tetraurelia chromosome undetermined scaffold_47, whole genome shotgun sequence.
GGGAGUAUAGCUCAGUUGGGAGAGCGUAAGACUGAAGAUCUUAAUGUCAUGGGUUCGAUCCCCAUUGUUCCCA